rnacentral:rRNA from 1 species
AACGGGGGGAGCAAGUGUUAUUCAUCAUUACUGGGCGUAAAGGGUGCGUAGGUGGAUUUGCAAGUUCAAAUUAGAUAAAUCUAAGCAUAACUUAGAAAUCAGUUUUUAUACUGCAAUUCUUGAGGAUAGAGGAAGUUUGUUGAAUUUUUAGUGAAGAAGUAAAAUUUGUCAAAUACUAAGAGGACGUUCUUUUGGCGUAAGCAACAGACUAUCAUAUUACUGACACUGAGGCAACGAAAGCAUGGGUAUCAAACAGGA